rnacentral:lncRNA from 1 species
GCAGGGAGUGCGCAUGCGGCCGAGUGCGGGACUGGGGCUCCUGGCUGUGGGUGUGGUACUGAGGCUUCAGCGGGUGCCGCCCGCCUAGAGGGAGUGGAGCGAGAGCCUACGACUAGAUUUGCAUCUUUACGUCCUGCGCGGAGGCUGCUACACACAUGCAGAAGUCAUGCUGGUGGCCUGGACAUUGAAGGGAGAGAAGUGGAUUUGGGAGACAUUUAGGAGAUGGCACCGAAAGCGAAGGAAGCUCCUGCUCCUCCUAAAGCCGAAGCCAAAGCGAAGGCUUUAAAGGCCAAGAAGGCAGUGUUGAAAGGUGUCCGCAGCCACACGCAAAAAAGAGGAUCCGCAUGUCACUCACCUUCAGGCGGCCCAAGACACUGUGACUCCGGAGGCAGCCCAGAUAGCCUCAGAAGAGCACCCCCAGGAGAAACAAGCUUGGCCACUAUGCUAUCAUCAAGUUUCCGCUGACCACUGAGUCGGCCGUGAAGAAGAUAGAAGAAAACAACACGCUUGUGUUCACUGUGGAUGUUAAAGCCAACAAGCACCAGAUCAGACAGGCUGUGAAGAAGCUCUAUGACAGUGAUGUGGCCAAGGUCACCACCCUGAUUUGUCCUGAUAAAGAGAAGAAGGCAUAUGUUCGACUUGCUCCUGAUUAUGAUGCUUUCGAUGUUGUAACAAAAUUGGGAUCACCUAAACUGAGUCCAGCUGGCUAACUCUAAAUAUAUGUGUAUCUUUUCAGCAUAAAAAAAUAAUGUUUUUCAUAAGAAUGACAACUUAAUUAGAAUCAAAUCUAUAAGCUUUAAGAUUUUACGUUUCUAGUAAGUAUAAUAUUAGCUUAUUUGACUAGAACUCAAGCAGAAUAGGAAUUUAUGCUUGUUUUAUAUUCAAUAAUGAUAAUUUUGAAGAUAUAGUUGUUUUAUUACACCAAAAAUACUAUAUUAAUCUUAUUUAACUAAGUUUUAUCCAAAUCAUGUUAACUUAAGAAACAUUUGAUCAGUUCCUAUAUUUCUAGGAGUUUGGUGAAUAUUUAUUUAUAAAUGCUUAUUUUUUUCCAAGCCAAGUUAGAAUAGAGCACUUUUAGAGGAUUUCAUAAAUGAAUUUUGCAAUGCUCUCUGGAGUUAAGAAAAUAUCACAUAUACAUAACAUACAUUAUUAGAUACACAAACACAAAUAGAGAUUUCAUAGCUUUCAUCCUGAAAUUUCAGCCAUGAAUCAGGCAUAAAUAUUCUGAUGG